GACAGAGGGUGCAAACGUUGUUCGGAAUUACUGGGCGUAAAGCGCGUGUAGGCAGCUUGGCAAGUCGGGUGUGAAAGCCCUGGGCUCAACCCAGGAACUGCGUCCGAUACUGGCGGCGUUGAAUCCGGGAGAGGAUGCGGAAUUCCAGGUGUAGCGGUGAAAUGCGUAGAUAUCUGGAGGAACACCGGUGGCGAAGGCGGCAUCCUGGACCGGCAUUGACGCUGAGGCGCGAAAGCCAGGGGAGCAAACGGG
rnacentral:rRNA from 1 species